GGACUAUCAUGUCGGUCGUGCCUCGGUACGUACUGGUAUUGUUGGUUUCUCCCUUCUGACAAACCAUGAUGUCAUUAAUUUGGUGUUAUGGGAAAUCAGGACUGUUACUUUGAAAAAAUUAGAGUGUUUAAAGCAGGCUCACGCUUGAAUACAUUAGCAUGGAAUAAUGAAAUAGGACGAUUGAUCCUAUUUUGUUGGUUUCUAGGAUUGACGUA
rnacentral:rRNA from 1 species